rnacentral:rRNA from 1 species
GACGUAGGGCGCGGGCGUUGUCCGGAUUUAUUGGGCGUAAAGAGCUCGUAGGCGGCUUGUCGCGUCGACUGUGAAAUCCCGCGGCUCAACUGCGGGUCUGCAGUCGAUACGGGCAGGCUGGAGUGCGGUAGGGGAGAUCGGAAUUCCUGGUGUAGCGGUAGAAAUGCGCAGAUAUCGGGAGGAACACCAGUGGCGAAGGCGGCUUUCUCGGCCAUCAACUGACGCUGAGACGCGAAAGCGUGGGGAGCAAACAGG